GAAAAAGAAAAGUUGACCAAUUUUAUUUUCCAGGAUGGAAGGAUUCUAUUACACUUUUAAAUCUCAUUUUGCAAAAGUUGAUAACUUGUAACUGUGGAUGUUUAAAAUCUGAAAGUGAAACCAGGAGUUCCCAGUGUGGCUCAGUGGGCUAAGAACCUGACUGAUAGCCAUGAGGAUUCAGGAUCAACCCCUGGCCUUGCCCAGUGGGUUAAGAAUCCAGUGUUGCUGCAAGAUGUGGUAUAGGUCACAGAUACAGCUCAGAUCUGGCAUUGCUGUGGCUGUGGCAUAGGCCUGCAGCUAUGGCUUCGAUUCAACCCCUAUCCUGGGAAUUUCCAUAUGCCUAACGUACAACCAUAAAAAGAACCCCCCCACCUCAAAAAAAAGCCCAGGAGUUCCCUGGUGGCUCAGCAGUUUAAGGAUCUGGCAUUGUCACUGCUGUGGCGUGGGUUUGAUCCCUGGCCCAGGAACUUCUGUAUGCCAUAGGCAUAGCCAAACAAAAGGAAUUGACUGGGAGUCUUGUAGGGAAAACAUUCUCUGUUUUGAUCUGGGCAAAAAUUAACUGAGCUGAGUGUGUACUUGAGAUUAGUACAUUUCACUGUGUAUUAGUUAUACUUCAAUUUUUUAAAAAUGGAGAAUGUAACAUCCAAUCUAAAUGCAAUACCCUAUUUUGGACUACUUGGGGGAGGGGACCAAGUCCCUAUGGCAGUAAAAUCUCUUGAGAUCAUUAUGUUCUGUGUGAAUUCAAUCCAGACAAAACUGACUUGAUCCAAGUUCAUAUGGAAAUGAUUUGAAGGUUCUAGUUGCUCACAAACUCAAGAAUGUCAACCAUGAGAUUCAGCCAGUAUUAAGAAGACACAACACAAAGUUUUACUGGUAAAGGAAGGCAUAGUGUCAACAAGAGAAUAAUAGACACCUGGUUUAGUGACCAUUACCCCACCAGGGCAGCUAAUUUUUGAAUAAAUUAAUGAAACUGACUUAUUGAUCUACAUGGCAAAGUGUAAGGAGAGAGGCAAUCCAUCUUGAACUUUAGAAUAAUACUGGCCUGGAUUUGAAUUCCCAUGCUACCAUGUAAAUGUUCUACAACCAUAGAAGUGUAACAUCCCUUCUCUGAGCUCAGUCUCCUCAUCUGUAAAAUGGGAAUACGAAUAGUAUCGGCUUUGGAAGCUUGUUGCAGGAACUAAAUGACAUGCUGUAUAUAAUACACUUGGUUGUAGAGCCUGACAUAAUAGCCCUCCUCCCACCUCAACAUUAGCUAUUAUUAGUGGUGUUAUUAACUGUGGGUUCCAGGCAUCCUCCUUUUAUGUCAUCUCCAUGGGAUUUCUGAGGAUGUUUGUUUGUUUGUUUUUAGGAGCUGGGGAAGUUGUGUGACCAUUUAUUUGCCAAGAGAACAAAGUUGCCUUCCCCACCCCCCACCUCUCACCACUGACCUAGGGGUGCCCCAGAGCCCACAUGGUCUUAUUUUGCUGCUUGAGUUGUUGCAAUCAAUGCCCAAGGCAGCAAGCAAGGCAGGGAAGCGGGCUGUGCAGGAGCAAAAAGAUGAAGAAAUCGAGAAGCCAGCACAGCUGCGACAGGAGCUCAUUGACUCCUUGUCCCCAAGGGCCAGUUCAGCCGGCUGGGAGGCCUGUCAUUAACUCUCUUUAUUGUCUACAUUUUUUGCCUCACUGACUCAUCUGAGAAGGCAAAUGGGACUGGCUUCAAGUCAUUCCUUGUGUGGACAUGGCUUCAUUGGCUUCUGGAACUGGGAAGAGCUGGAAUCACUGAAAACACUGCCUGCCCAGGAGGCAUUCACACGUGUGAAAUGGGAAACUGGGUGUGAACAUAGCUUGGAGUUUUGUCUCUGGAACUCAUCCUAAAGGACCGUGGUAUUUUCCACCCAAUCGUGCCUUCUUCCAAGCCCAGAGUAUCCUGCUGCUGCCAUUUGGAGGGUCAGCCUGAUCCUUUCUGGGCAGAUUCAUAAGCUCGUGCCUUGUAUUAAAAAAAAAAAAAAUACGUUCAGGGGAGUUCCUGUCAUGACUCAGUGGAAACGAAUCUGACUAGCAUCCAUGGGGACACACACAGGUUUGAUUCCUGGCCUUGCUUAGUGGGUUAAGGAUCUGGUGUUGCCACAAGCUGUGGUGUAGGUCACUGACAUGGCUUGGAUCUGGCAUUGCUGUGGCUAUGGCAUAGGCCAGUGGCUACAGCGCCAAUUUGACUCCUAGCCUGGGAACCUCCAUGUGCUGUGGGUGUGGCCCUAAAAAGACCAAAAAAAAAAUAUAUUGAUGUACUUCAUAACUGCCAUGACACCUUAUACUCUCUGAUGGAUUGGGGGGUGGAUUAUAUGAGUCGUAGUAGAUAAAGAAUUUGGCACAGAGCAUGACACAGUAAACUAACUUUAUUUUUGUUGUUGUCACUUCCUUCAAGUUCCUUCUUUAGCCAGUAUUGAUAUGGAAUAUCUAAUUGCCCCAAGUCCUUCCUGUAUAAGAUAGGAAAGACUUUUAGUCUCACUCAUUGUGCCUUGGCUAAAUAGUUAGACUUUGCAACCAUGAGCAAGUUGAAAAGUCCAUUUCCCAAAACAACACACUGUUUUUUGGCCUUCAAAAGAAAUCUCCCCCCAAAAUAUAAUUGUAAUGUAUACAUGUAAGGAUAACCUGACCCCCUUGCUGUACAGUGGGAUAAUAAAAAUAAAAAAAAAACAAAAACAACAACAACAACAACAAAAAAAGAAAUCUCCCCCUUCCAGUCCCUCCCCAUUCUCUCCCCUUCCCUUAUUUUCCUUUGCCUCUUCUCUCCUCCCUCCAUUCCUUCCUUCCUUCCCUUCCCUCCACCUCUUACUGGAAAGCCUCACAAGGCGCUGCCCUUGGUGCUGACUCAUUUUUCUCCCUUGUUCAGCUGGGAAAGGAAACUGUAUGCAAAUGAAAAGAUGUGUAAAGCCGCGCAGCUAGGGAGCCUUGAAGCUGGGGACAUUCCCCGAGCUAAGUUCUGUGCCUUGGGCAUUGCCAAAACUGUCACUGUGCCCCCAGAAAGAUGCCCGGAGAUGCCAACUUGGCCAGGAGAUGCCAGUCUGAGGGUUGCCGCCUCCCCACAGCCAUUGACUUCAGAGCUCAGGGCACGGACAGCUAGCACCUUAUCUGGUUACCCCAGGGACUGCUACUGGUACAGUGAUGGCUCCACUGGGAUGGUGAACGUGGAACCCAAGCAGUAUACACAGGCUAGAGAUAAGGCCAAGAACAGAUUCCCUUUGGCGCUCAGGUGCUGUUCAUCAGAAAUCGACAGCCCCACAGCCCUGGCUGGUGACAGGCACAGGAUGAUAACAAUACCAUGUGAUCAGUAGCCUUGGAGGAGAGGCUGUCACUGCCUUGCAGAGAUAAGGGAACAAUGAGCAACCUCUCCACCUAGGGAGGGGGCUGCACAGAGUCUACAGGGCAAAGCAGCAGGAGCUGAAUCUCCUCUCUGAUCCCUACACCUGAUAGGGUCCACUCCUCCCAGCAGGGCCUUGGCAUUGCCUCCUAUCACCCAGGGACCCCUGGCCCCCAUUAUGUACCCACUUUUCUGACCCCUGUCUUCUGAGGUUAACCCUGUUAUAACUAGAGCACAAGUGUUAAAGAUGAUAACAGACAAGGGGUUUCCUUUCCAUCUUCCUGCCCCACAGAGGUUGCUGAGGGCACGGGCGCGUGUGUAUGUGUGUGUGUGUGUGUUUGUGUGUGUGUGUAUGUGUGUGUGUGUGUGUGUAGGGCCCAGGUUGGGUGGGGGCAGUGGUGGGGGAACGACAGAGCUUCCUCCAGAUGGUUUAUCCAGACCAUGGAUUCCACCUCCAUGAUCAGCGUCAGAGGAAAACCUGAAGCUAACUUAGGACUGGAGCAAUCAGGAGUGUGGGCAGGGAGGGGCUAGAAGCAGCCUUUUCUGGCAUCUUCCCAUCCCACCCCCUAUGGAGCAAACCUACUGACCCCACUGCCACACACCCCUUUCCCUACCAUGCUCACAACAGCCAUGAAGCAGGGAGGAAAGAUGACUGACCUCCAGUCCCUUCCCUUUUCCAGCUGGGAUGCGUGAUCUUGGGGGUCAUAGCUAAGUCACCUCACUGUGGCAUCUGUUUUAAAUGGGUGCUGUAUUCAAUCAGUGCUUCUAGAUAUUUUAGUGUCCCAACAACUUUAGAAAUUUCUUUUUCUGUCUUUUGAAGGCCCCACCCAUGGCAUAUGGAGGGUCCCAGGCUAGUGAUCGAAUCAGAGCUGCAGCUGCUAGCCUACAGCACAGUCACAGCCACAUCAGAUCCAAGCCAUGUUUUCAACCUACACCACAGCUCACAGCAACACUGGAUCCUUAACCCACUGAGCGGGUUCAUGGAUGCUAGUCAGAUUUGUUUCCACUGAGCCACGACAGGACAUCCACAACUUUAGAAAUGUUUUGACAAUUUCAAGAAGUUCAUGGACUCCCUGAAGCCCACUUAGGAGCAUGCAGAUUAGAUGAACUCCAUGGACAUUUCAAUUUUUGGCCUUAGAAUUGCUGAUCUUAUGUCGACCCAUACACCAACCUCAUCCCUUAUUAGGAUGCCGAGGGUAAGGAGCAGAGUUCAAGGGUUUACUGGAAGAACAGAGAUGGGAAUUAUGGUGGAACAGGUGUUUUUGAUUCCCUCCAGUGGGCAUAAUAGCAUAAAAGAAUCUGUCUUCUUUGGUCACUUCCCAAGAGUGCUGAACUGGAGAAUGUGGGUGUGUUAUCUAUUCUGGGGUUAAAAAAAAAAUUACUCCAAACUUAGCAGCUUCAAACAACAGUAAAUUUUAUCAUCUCUCAUAGUUUCUGUGAGUUAAGAAUUCAGAGUUGGCUUGGCUGGGUGGCUCUGGUUUGAGUCUCUUAAGAGAUAAUUGUCAAGAUGUCAGCAGUCCUCAAAGGGCUUGAUGGGGACUGAGGAUCCACUUCCAAGGAGACUCACUUACCUAGACAGCAAGUGAUUCUGGUCGUUGGUAAAAGGCUUUGAUUCCACCCCACUUGGGCCUCUCCCUGGGGCUGCCCAAGUGUCCUUACAACAUGGCGACCAGCUUCCCCCAGAACGAAUGAUCUGAGAGAGAGUGAGGUGGAAACUGCAACGUCCUUUCUGACCUAGUGUCAGGAGUCACAUAUUCCCAUUCCCACAACAUCCCAUUGAUUAUACAGGUCAGCCUUACUGUGAAAGAGACGAGCACCAGGGCGUGAAUUCCAGGAGGUGAGAAUCACUGGGGCCAUCUUGGAAGAUGGCUUCCACAGUGAGAGGUGUUCCCAAGGGCGAAACCAACCUAACUGGAAGUUGGGAGUCUGUCCGGCAUACCGGCCUGCUUUUAGGUGACACCUGUUUGUCUUUAAUUGUUUGUUUCCCUUUGCAUUCCAGCUCCCCCCACCCCGAGGCUGACAAGCAGAGCAUAUUUCUCCAUUGUUACAAAAGCAGGUGUGGGAGUUCCUGUCAUGGCUCAGUGGAAACGAAUCUGACCAGCAGCCAUGAGGAUGCAGGUUCGAUCCCUGGCCUCGCUCAGUGGGUUAAGGAUUCGGCAUUGCCAUGAGCUGCGGUGUAGGUCGCAGGCGAGGCUCGGAUCUGGUGUUGCUAUGGCUGUGGUGUAGGCUGGCAGCUGCAGCUCUGAUUCAACCCCUGGCCUGGGAACCUCCAUAUGCUGUGGGUGCAGCCCUAAAAAAAAGACCAAAAAAAAAAAAAGGCAGAUGUGUAAGUGAUCACCAUGUUUCAGGUAAUAUAACAGCCAACCCUUAUGCAUCAGUUUUUUAAUGUACCGGGCUCAUCCUAAGCACUUUACAUGUAUUUUUCGGUCCUUUUUUUU
rnacentral:lncRNA from 1 species